rnacentral:snoRNA from 14 species
AGAGGCUAUGCAUACUCUCAGUGUUCUGACCUAUGAACAUUUCUAUGAGUAGUAGCCUAA